rnacentral:lncRNA from 1 species
CAAACAAUAAAAGAAAAAGCUAGUUCGAAUCGCCUCGAAACAGCAGUUUUAUGAAUAUAUAUCAAAUAAAACUAAAGAACAUUGCUGGAAAGUAAAUUGCAUUGAAUGAAAAUCAAUUACAAACUAAAUGGUUCACAAAACAUACAUCUUCUCUUCAAGAUUCAUUUCGUUCGAUCGCCGAGUACUUAGAAUUUUCAGAGAAAGUUUUGUAUAAAAUUUUGUGAC